CCGGCGGACGGGUGAGUAAUGCCUAGGAAUCUGCCUGGUAGUGGGGGACAACGUUUCGAAAGGAACGCUAAUACCGCAUACGUCCUACGGGAGAAAGCAGGGGACCUUCGGGCCUUGCGCUAUCAGAUGAGCCUAGGUCGGAUUAGCUAGUUGGUGAGGUAAUGGCUCACCAAGGCGACGAUCCGUAACUGGUCUGAGAGGAUGAUCAGUCACACUGGAACUGAGACACGGUCCAGACUCCUACGGGAGGCAGCAGUGGGGAAUAUUGGACAAUGGGCGAAAGCCUGAUCCAGCCAUGCCGCGUGUGUGAAGAAGGUCUUCGGAUUGUAAAGCACUUUAAGUUGGGAGGAAGGGCAGUAAGUUAAUACCUUGCUGUUUUGACGUUACCGACAGAAUAAGCACCGGCUAACUCUGUGCCAGCAGCCGCGGUAAU
rnacentral:rRNA from 1 species